GUAUUGCAUUGCGUUAAACGCGGCGUACAUUCCAUGAAACUUUAUUACAGUGUGUGUGUGUAAAUACGCAGAACCACAGCAGGGGGACUGGGCCCCCAAACCAUAGAACUACAGAGAGUGCACAGGUGUGAGUGGAUGUGUAAACAGAGCGUGCACAUGCCCCCAUCUGAGGGCCAGCAACAACUUCAUGUUGACAAUUCGGUAAUGAUCCUUCCGCAGGUUCACCUACGGAAA
rnacentral:misc_RNA from 1 species